CGUGUAGGCGGUUAGGCAAGUCAGGUGUGAAAUCCCUUGGCUCAACCAAGGAAGUGCGCUUGGAACUGCUUAACUCGAGUACAGGAGGGGAAAGUGGAAUUCCCAGUGUAGAGGUGAAAUUCAUAGAUAUUGGGAGGAACACCGGUAGCGAAGGCGGCUUUCUGGCCUGAUACUGACGCUGAGACGCGAAAGCGUGGGGAGCAAACA
rnacentral:rRNA from 1 species